rnacentral:lncRNA from 1 species
UUGCAUAAAUAUUGAAAAUAAAUAGAAGUUUAACAAUGGAGAUUUAAAUCUCCCAAUUCAUCACAAAUCUGAAUUUUCCAACUUCAACUAGAAAGGAAAGUGUUUAGCCACUCAUGGUGGACAAAAUCACAAAAGAAAAAAAAGAAAGAAGAGAUUGCUGUGUUUCUGGAGAGUUUCUGAAGCUGAGAGAUGAUCAGAAGAUGC